rnacentral:rRNA from 1 species
CGUUCCCGGGCCUUGUACACACCGCCCGCCACACCAUGGGAGUGGGUUGUACCAGAAGUAGGUAGAAUAACCGUAAGGGGUUCGCUUACCACGGUAUGGUUCAUGACUGGGGUG